UACGAAGGGUGCAAACGUUGCUCGGAAUUAUUGGGGCGUAAAGCGCACGUAGGCGGCUUAGCAAGUCGGAUGUGAAAGCCCUCGGCUCAACCAAGGAAGUGCAUCCGAAACUGCUGAGCUUGAGUACUUAAGAGGAUCGCGGAAUUCCCGGUGUAGAGGUGAAAUUCGUAGAUAUCGGGAGGAACACCAGUGGCGAAGGCGGCACUCUGGGCCGGUACUGACGCUGAGGAGCGAAAGCGUGGGGAGCGAACAGG
rnacentral:rRNA from 1 species